rnacentral:rRNA from 1 species
AUGCAUGCUACGUCAGGCAACGCUAAUUGCUUGAGACGGAUUCUAUCGGAUUAUUGUAAGGCGUCUGGGCAGUUAGUGAGCGAAGACAAGUCAAGCAUUUUCUUUAGUCCAAGUAUCGAGCCUGAGGUUAGAGAGGAAGUGUGUACAAUUUUGAAUAUAAUGACAGAAGCUCUGACGGAUAAAUAUCUCGGAUUGCCAGCCAUUGUUGGGGCAGACAAAAGUGAUAAUUUCCAGUUCCUGAUUGAUAGAGUGCUAAAGAGAUUGCUUGGAUGGAAAGAGAAAAAUCUGUCCACGGGUGGAAAAGAGGUGCUUCUGAAAGCGAUUGCGCAGGCGAUACCAUCAUAUGCGAUGUCUGUUUUUAAAAUCUCAAAACAAAUCUGCAAAGGGAUCACAGACGGUAUGUCGCAAUAUUGGUGGGGCGAUGAUGCGGAUCAAAGACGGAUGCAUUGGCUUGCUUGGUGGAAAAUGUGUAUCCCAAAGAAAUUUGGUGGAAUGGGUUUUAGGGAUAUCCACUGUUUUAACCUUGCCUUGUUAGCUAAGCAAGCAUGGCGACUAAUUGAGAACCCUGAUUCUCUCUGUGCUACCAUGUUGCGUGCAAGGUACUUUCCAUCAGGAGAUUUGUUGAACACGGAGUUGAAGAAAGGGAGCUCUUUUACAUGGCAGAGUAUUUGGGCUGGGAUUAGUACAUUAAAACGUGGUCAUAUAUGGCGUGUAGGAGAUGGAACUAAUAUUGAUAUCUGGAAAGACGAAUGGAUCCCAAAUAGUGCAUCACGCAAAGUUAUAACUAGAAGGGGUCAGAACAUCUUUAGUAGGGUGAGCGACCUUAUUGAUCCUAUCACAAAUCACUGGGAUGUGGAUUUAGUGACGCAGACCUUUUGGCAAGUGGAUGUUCAAAGGAUUCUUGCUAUACCUUUAUCAUCUUCUGGCAUGCAAGAUUUUGUUGCUUGGAACCUGACUCGUACAAACAUCUUUUCUGUGCGCUCAGCUUAUUAUGCAGAAUGGGAGGGCCAAUAUGGCCAAAGGUUAAAUAGAGGAUAUCAAGCUUUUGGUAUCAAACCACAUCCAAUUUGGGAUAAAAUCCGGGGUCUCAAAGUGCCUGCGAAGGUAAAAAUCUUUCUUUGGAGAGUUAUGCAUAAUACUAUUCCUUGUCGGGUUGCUCUGGCGAAUCGUCAUAUUAAAGUGAGCGGGCAAUGCCCAGUCUGUGAGAUUGGAGCGGAAGAUAUUAAGCAUCUCCUGUUCAAGUGUAGCCGAGCAAAGCACGUACAGCAAGCACUGGGUAUUGAUGACUUAAUUGAGAAAUUUUGUCUUGCUCAUCACCCUGGAGAGUCUAUUCUAGAGGAAUUGUUGUACUCAAGCCCUGGUCAGUCUAUGAUUUUGAGACAAGCCCCAUUGGCAGAGCUUGUUGCAGUGGCAUGUUGGUAUUUAUGGUGGAAAAGAAGGCAAAUUAGUCGUAAUAUUCAGGUGCAGUCCCCAGAAAGAUCUGCGAUAGCAAUCAAGGUGUUAUCUUCAAACUUCAGGUCUGCUACCGUUCCUAAUGCAAGGGUGAGAAAGGAGAGAUGGGCUCCUCCAACAGGUGAUCGUGUCAAGAUAAAUGUUGAUGCUUCCUUUGACCCAGACUUUCUGAGGGGAACUACGGGUGCAGUCAUUCGUGAUAAAAAGGGGAAGUUCAUUGCCGCGUGUAAUGCACGUUUGGAUAUGGUUCAAGAUGUUUUGUCGGCUGAAGCUUUGGCGCUCAAACACGGCCUGUUCUUAGCUAAAUCCAUGGGUUGUAAUAGAGUCGUUGUGAGUUCUGAUAAUAGUGAAUUAAUAGAAAUUAUGAAGAACGAGAGGCCCCCUACAGGUAUUGCUGCAGCGAUUUAUCAUGAUUGUUUUUCUAUGGAGUCAGACUUUGUUAGGGUUAAGUAUGAGCAUGCGAAUAGGGAAACAAAUUCUGUAACUCAUGAACUGGCCCAAUUAGCUAAAUUCCAGACCAGUAGGGUCUGGAUGGAUGAUCCUCCCUCCUCUAUUGUACCUCUCAUGGUGAAUGAUGUAACAUUAUUAUCAUUGAAUAAAGAGGUCUUUUUUGAGGUCAAAAAAAAGUGA